GAUGAACGCUGGCGGCGUGCCUAAUACAUGCAAGUCGAGCGAACGGACGAGAAGCUUGCUUCUCUGAUGUUAGCGGCGGACGGGUGAUUACCAUGUGGAUAACCUACCUAUAAGACUGGGAUACCUUCGGGAAACCGGAGCUAAUACCGGAUAAUAUUUUGAACCGCAUGGUUCCAAAGUGAAAGACGGUCUUUCUGUCACUUAUAGAUGGAUCCGCGCUGCAUUAGCUAGUUGGUAAGGUAACGGCUUACCAAGGCAACGAUGCAUAGCCGACCUGAGAGGGUGAUCGGCCACACUGUAACUGAGACACGGUCCCGACUCCGACGGGAGGAAGCAGUAGGGAAUCUUCCGCGAUGGGCGAAAGCCUGACGGAGCAACGCCGCGUGAGUCAUGAAGGUCUUCGGAUCGUAAAACUCUGUUAUUAGGGAAGAACAUAUGUGUAAGUAACUGUGCACAUCUUGACGGUACCUAAUCAGAAAGCCACGGCUAACUACGUG
rnacentral:rRNA from 1 species